rnacentral:rRNA from 1 species
CCCGCUCAGCAACUCAAUGAAUUGACGGGGCCCGCACAAGCGGUGGAGUAUGUGGUUUAAUUCGAUGCAACGCGAAGAACCUUACCUGGUCUUGACAUCCCGGAGACCCUUAGGAAACUAGGGGGUGCUUCCAUCUGGAAGAAUCUGGAGACAGGUGCUGCAUGGCUGUCGUCAGCUCGUGUCGUGAGAUGUUGGGUUAAGUCCCGCAACGAGCGCAACCCUUGCCUUUAGUUGCCAGCAGUUCGGCUGGGCACUCUAAAGGGACUGCCGGUGUUAAACCGGAGGAAGGUGGGGAUGACGUCAAGUCCUCAUGGCCUUUAUGACCAGGGCUACACACGUACUACAAUGGCCGAUACAAAGGGCAGCGACACUGCGAGGUGAAGCCAAUCCCGUAAAAUCGGUCUCAGUCCGGAUUGGAGUCUGCAACUCGACUCCAUGAAGUUGGAAUCGCUAGUAAUCGUGGAUCAGCAUGCCACGGUGAAUACGUUCCCGGGCCUU